UGAGUGGAUUAGAAAUCAACAAGGUAAACAAUUGAGAUUCUGAACUUCAGAGAGAGGGCAAGAGACUGAGAGAUAUGGGAAAGAGAGCAUUGCUUUCCGUUCUCCUACUUGUGGUAAUAAUCGAUCACUGCACGCCAGGAAACGUGGCUACAGAGACUGCUAGUUCGACUGUCAUUGUGGUAGGAGCUGGCAUGUCCGGUAUAUCGGCUGCUAAGAGAUUAUCGGACGCAGGAAUAAAGGAUAUUUUGGUAUUAGAAGCAACUGACAGAAUUGGUGGUCGUAUUAAGAAAACAAAUUUUGCAGGCUUAUCUGUAGAGUUGGGAGCUAAUUGGGUCGAAGGUGUUAACGGGAACAAAGUUAAUCCUAUUUGGACUAUGGCUAACAAGAUUGGCCUCAAAACCUUCUAUUCUCAAUGGAACAAUAUUUCAGCGAACAUUUACAAACAAAAAGGUGGGCUUUAUAACGUAUCAGUGGCUGAGAAAGCAUACAACUCCAUGAACGAACUUUACGAAUUCAGCAGAAAUUGUUCAGUUUUAUUAUCUAGACAUAGGGAAGAAGAUAUCUCAGUCUUGGUGUCCCAACGGUUAAAUAACAAAAUUCCAUCAACACCUCUCGAGAUGGCGAUUGACUACUUUUCCUGCGACUCCAGCUUUGGGGAGCCACCCAGGGUCACUAGUUUGCAGAACACACAACCAUUGCCAACUUAUACAAAUUUCGGAGAGGAUAGCUAUUUCGUUGCAGAUUCCAGGGGAUAUGAGAGUGUGGUUCAUUACAUUGCCAAGAAAUUUCUUAAAACAAAUAAGGCUGGAGAAAUUAGCGAUCCUCGACUUAAACUAAACAAGGUUGUGACAGAGAUACAAUAUUCACGAAACGGAGUUGUUGUUAAGACAGAAGAUGGCAAAGCAUAUGGAACGGCCUAUGUGAUGGUCUCUGUUAGUAUUGGUGUUCUUCAAACUAACCUCAUCAACUUCGUUCCUGAUCUGCCGUAUUCCAAGUUGUUGGCGAUAUAUCAGUUUGACAUGUCUAUAUACACCAAGAUUUUUCUCAAGUUCCCCUACAAGUUCUGGCCAACUGGUAACGGCACCGAGUCUUUCAUUUAUGCCCACGAGAAACGUGGUUACUACACAGAUUGGCAGCAUUUGGAGACUGAGUACCCGGGAGCCAAUAUCCUUUUAGCAACAGUAACUGACGACGAAUCAAGAAGAAUAGAGCAACAAUCCAACUCACAGACAAAAGAAGAAAUCAUGGAUGUAUUGAGAAACAUGUUCGGGAAGAACAUCCCAGACGCCACAGACAUACUAGUUCCGAAAUGGUGGUCCAAUAAAUUUUACAAGGGCACUUUCUCGAACUGGCCUGUUGGAGUUAGUCGUUACGAGUUCGAUCAAAUUAGGGCAAAUUAUGAGCGCCUUUAUGUUUUCAUUUCGUGAUUUGUAAUUGAAGGCGCCCGUUGGCAGAGUUUAUUUCACCGGAGAGCAUACUAGCGAGAACUACAACGGUUACGUUCAUGGGGCAUACCUUGCAGGUAUUGACUCUGCAAACAUUCUGAUUAACUGUGCUAAGAACAAAAUGUGCAACUACGACAUCAAGCCUUAAGGGUGAUCAUACUGCAUCAAAUCAAUGUCAUGUUGAGGAGUUUGUGGGUCUCAUUCAUAUAUGUAAUAUAUUGUUAGAUGGAAAUUAUAGGUAGACUCGUGAUGUUUUUAGUUUGAGUGUUGCUUGGUAAGCUCCGCCGGAGAAGGCCAAAAUGAAUGUUAGCUGCGCCUUGGUGUGGGGUUUUGAUGCAGAAAUUUAUGUAUUUGGGCUACAAAAUUUUUUAUUGAUCAAAAGUGCUAAUCACCAAAGUUUCCUGCAAGACUUGUAGGUCGGGACUUGACAGCUUAGUUCCCAUCUAAUAUACUCUGUCUCAGGAAUGGUGAUGCUUUUAUCUUUCUAAUU